UACGAAGGGGACUAGCGUUGCUCGGAAUCACUGGGCGUAAAGGGUGCGUAGGCGGGUUUUUAAGUCAGGGGUGAAAUCCUGGAGCUCAACUCCAGAACUGCCUUUGAUACUGAAGAUCUUGAGUUCGGGAGAGGUGAGUGGAACUGCGAGUGUAGAGGUGAAAUUCGUAGAUAUUCGCAAGAACACCAGUGGCGAAGGCGGCUCACUGGCCCGAUACUGACGCUGAGGCACGAAAGCGUGGGGAGCAAACAGG
rnacentral:rRNA from 1 species